CACGUAGGGUGCGAGCGUUGUCCGGAAUUAUUGGGCGUAAAGAGCUCGUAGGCGGUGUGUCGCGUCGGCCGUGAAAACCUGCAGCUUAACUGUGGCUUGCGGUCGAUACGGGCAUCACUGGAGUUCGGCAGGGGAGACUGGAAUUCCUGGUGUAGCGGUGAAAUGCGCAGAUAUCAGGAGGAACACCGGUGGCGAAGGCGGGUCUCUGGGCCGAUACUGACGCUGGAGGAGCGAAAAGCCGUGGGGAGCAACAGG
rnacentral:rRNA from 1 species